GCUUAAGGUACGUGCUAAACCCUCGGGAAACCGAGCUUCUAUAACUAGGCCCGAUAAGCCGAAGUAUAGGGGGGCCGAGAGGCUGGAAGAAAGGUUCUACGGCGAUCCGUAGGGGGCAUUGUCCCCCGCGGGGAGUGGUAACCUUUUCUGCUGUGAUGCCCUUAGAUGUUCUGGGCCGCACGCGCGUUACACUGACAGAGCCAGCGAGUACUUCCUUGGUAGAAAUACCCGGGUAAUCUUGUGAAACUCU
rnacentral:rRNA from 1 species